rnacentral:rRNA from 1 species
UGGAGGACCGAACCCACCUAUGUUGAAAAAUGGGGGGAUGACCUGUGGCUAGGGGUGAAAGGCCAAUCAAACCCGGAAAUAGCUGGUUCUCCGCGAAAACUAUUUAGGUAGUGCGUCAUGUGUUUACCUUCGGGGGUAGAGCACUGGAUGGGCUAGGGGGGCGCGAGCCUUACCAAACCUAACCAAACUCCGAAUACCGAUGAGUACAGCAUGGCAGACAGACUAUGGGCGCUAAGGUCCGUGGUCGAAAGGGAAACAGCCCUGACCGCCAGCUAAGGUCCCGAAGUUGUGGCUAAGUGGGAAAGGAUGUGGGAAGGCCAAGACAACCAGGAGGUUGGCUUAGAAGCAGCCACCCUUGAAAGAAAGCGUAACAGCUCACUGGUCUAGAUUUAAGCCGUCCUGCGCCGAAGAUGUAACGGGGCUCAAGCCACACACCGAAGCUGCGGAUUCAAUCGUAAGAUUGAGUGGUAGCGGAGCGUUCCGUAAGCCUGUGAAGGGUGACCGUGAGGAAGCCUGGAGGUAUCGGAAGUGAGAAUGCUGACAUGAGUAGCGACAAAGAGUGUGAGAAACACUCUCGCCGAAAGUCCAAGGGUUCCUGCGUAAAGCUAAUCUGCGCAGGGUUAGCCGGCCCCUAAGGUGAGGGCGAAAGCCGUAGCCGAUGGGAAGGAGGUUAAUAUUCCUCCGCCUGCUGAGCGUGACGAAGGUCGGAAGUUGUCGUCCCUUAUCGGAUUGGGACGGCAGCCUGGAUCUUCCAGGAAACAGCGCCAGCAUUAUAGACCGUACCCUAAACCGACACAGGUGGACUGGUAGAGUAUACCAAGGCGCUUGAGAGAACGAUGUUGAAGGAACUCGGCAAAAUGCCCCCGUAACUUCGGGAUAAGGGUGACCUCUGUUUGGGCAACCGAACAGGGGUGGCACAGAAGAGGGGGUGGCGACUGUUUACUAAAAACACAGGGCUCUGCUAAGUCGCAAGACGAAGUAUAGGGUCUGACGCCUGCCCGGUGCCGGAAGGUUAAGGAGAGGGGUGCAAGCUCUGAACCGAAGCCCCGGUAAACGGCGGCCGUAACUAUAACGGUCCUAAGGUAGCGAAAUUCCUUGUCGGGUAAGUUCCGACCU